CACCAUAGCGGGCUUAUUGGAGCUGUCAUUUGUGACUGAGACAUGUAAAUGUGUGCUAUAAAAAAUGUACAUUUGUGGAUUGCUGGACAUACAAAUAAGAGUAGCUUAUUUCUUCAUACAUUUGAAAUGAGGUGUGGUUGUGGCCGCAACCGGUCUAGAUUGUGAAGGACUCUGCCAUGAGGGUGAUAAGCACAAUGUCAUUCGUGAACUGCAGCCCACCCCCAAAUGAUUUGUUCUCGAGUUGGAGUUUGUUGAGCAGAGGCUGUGUGUGUUUUGAUUCUACAAAUCUGUGUCCAUCAUAACAUUCAACAAAAUUAAUUGUAUUCAUUAUUGCAAUCAAUUAUCAGUUCUAAAUAUGUUCUUCUUCUUCUCUAUGCUCGUGAUCUAUUUCCCUGCACAUGACAGAGAGUUGAGGGUCGGGGCACGUCUCUGGAGCCGCUGAGCCGUGUAUUAAAGGGGAAUUUCACCCUGGGGGAACCUGGGCUUGUUUUCAUUAUGUCUGCGGCAUUUCGAGGACAGUGAGAUGUAAUUGCCCAGGAGGAAGACAGGUCAGGAACUCACAAGCUGAAUCAUCUACCCAAUGACGGCUUCCGGUGUAUUGUAUUUUUUCUAUAAAUAAACAGGAAGUCUUUCAGUGAUAUUCCUAUUGGCAGAUUCAUUUCCAAAUAUACAAGCUGUCACAUUUCAACAAGAAUUCGACAAUGGAGCAUCUAUUAGCUACAUGGUGACAUUCAACCAUACAUGUUUCAACCGGAAUAUAGAUUCUAAAUAAAGAGUUGGAUUUAGCUAAUGUUAGAAGCUCAGCUACAGCCGAUGCCAGCACCAAGAGGCCAGAUGACAAAUACAGUGCCUCGCUAAACAACACCGUUUGGUGCCUGGACAACUUCCUGGAGUGGAUUCUAGACACAGAAACAGGAUCCGAUUGCCUGCGAGUGUCAUUGUAGCAGAACUGUAUCCUGUGAGCUGUAUCCAUCUCGAGCGAUUACACAUGGCGCUGGAUUUCAAGAAGAUGACUCCCGAGGAGCUGAUUGGCUGUUUGAUCAUGACAACACUCCUCCCACAGUUUCACAAGCAUUCCCUGAUCUUACUGUGUUUCUUUUGGAAUGGCAAUUUUAUCAUGGCCACCUCUCCCAUCAUCUGCUGGUCACCAGUUCUCUUAGCUACAGCUUGUUACACCAGAUAACCCCAGUGAUUUGAUUUUGAUUUGGGUAUCCAUUCCUGAGAAAUCAACCUUAGUGGUGCCCGUCUUUGUCCUCGAUUCGGGGGAACAGGAGUCUCUCAAACUGUUUGUGUCCAGUUGCAGGGAGUCAGUUUGAAUUUAGAAAAUGCUCCGUUAUUAAAAUAUAUAUAUAUAAAUAUUUUUUUGCUCCAUCAAGUAAUCAAACUAUGUGCGCCGCCGUCGUGCGUAUUUCAAGUCUUCUCACACUUUGAUCGAGACAGCUAUCUGUCAUCAUGACAUAGAGCUCUGUGAGAGAAGACUUGAAAUAGACAAGAUGUCGGCAAAAUAUCUUUGGGUAAAUCACAUUAUCUGGUGUAACGAUCUGUAGCUAGAGUUCUCGGCACUUGUGUGUCUCUACACCCAAUACACACUCUGACACAUUGAACUGUACUACACGUUUCAUACAAUUAUUUUUGUAUGUUACUUUUACCAUGUAACAUUGUUGUUCUCUUGAGUUAGCAUUAAAUAGUGUACAAUCUCCUCUAUUUUAGAUUUUGACAAAUAAACAAACUUUCUUUGCA